CUGACGGAGCAAUCUCGCGUGAGGGAUGACUGCCUAUGGGUUGUAAACCUCUUUUUUCAGGGAGGAAUUAAUGACGUUACCUGAAGAAUAAGCAUCGGCUAACUCCGUGCCAGCAGCCGCGGUAAGACGGAGGAUGCAAGUGUUAUCCGGAAUCACUGGGCGUAAAGCGUCUGUAGGUGGUUUAAUAAGUCAACUGUUAAAUCUUGAAGCUCAACUUCAAAAUCGCAGUCGAAACUAUUAGACUAAAGUAUAGUAGGGGUAAAGGGAAUUUCCAGUGGAGCGGUGAAAUGCGUAAAGAUUGGAAAGAACACCGAUGGCGAAGGCACUUUACUGGGCUAUUACUGACACUCAAAGACGAAAGCUAGGGUAGCAAAUGGGAUUAGAUACCCCAGUA
rnacentral:rRNA from 1 species